GUAGGUGGCAAGCGUUGUCCGGAAUUAUUGGGCGUAAAGCGCGCGCAGGCGGUUCUUUAAGUCUGAUGUGAAAGCCCACGGGCUCAACCGUGGAGGGUCAUUGGAAACUGGAGAACUUGAGUACAGAAGAGGAAAGCGGAAUUCCACGUGUAGCGGUGAAAUGCGUAGAGAUGUGGAGGAACACCAGUGGCGAAGGCGGCUUUCUGGUCUGUAACUGACGCUGAGGCGCGAAAGCGUGGGGAGCAAACAGGAUUAGAUACCCUGGUAGUCCACGCCGUAAACGAUGAGUGCUAAGUGUUAGGGGGGUUUCCGCCCCCUUAGUGCUGCAGCUAACGCAUUAAGCACUCCGCCUGGGGAGUACGGCCGCAAGGCUG
rnacentral:rRNA from 1 species